AUUGAACGCUGGCGGCAGGCUUAACACAUGCAAGUCGAGCGGGGUGGUAGUGCUUGCACUAUCACUUAGCGGCGGACGGGUGAGUAAUGCUUAGGAAUCUGCCUAUUAGUGGGGGACAACAUUUCGAAAGGAAUGCUAAUACCGCAUACGUCCUACGGGAGAAAGCAGGGGAUCUUCGGACCUUGCGCUAAUAGAUGAGCCUAAGUCGGAUUAGCUAGUUGGUGGGGUAAAGGCCUACCAAGGCGACGAUCUGUAGCGGGUCUGAGAGGAUGAUACGCAACACUGGGACUGGGACACGGCCCAGGCGCCUACGGGAGGCAGCAGUGGGGAAUAUUGGACAAUGGGCGCAAGCCUGAUCCAGCAACGCCGCGUGGAGGAUGAAGGUCUUCGGAUCGUAAACUCCUGUCAGACGGGACGAACGCGGCCGGGUGAACAAUCCGGCUGCUUGACGGUACCGUCAGAGGAAGCUCCGGCUAACUCCGUGCCAGCAGCCGCAGUAA
rnacentral:rRNA from 1 species